CCCUUAGAUGUUCUGGGCCGCACGCGUGCUACACUGAGUGGAUCAGCGGGUCAGGUUGCGCGAAAGUGUUUCCUAAUCUUGAAAUCCGCUCGUGAUGGGGAUUGGCGGUUGCAAUUUUCCGUCAUGAACGAGGAAUACCUUGUAAGCGCGGGUCAUCAUCCCGCGCUGAAUACGUCCCUGCCCUUUGUACACACCGCCCGUCGCUCCUACCGAUUGGGUGGUCCGGUGAGGCUUUGGGAUCUGAGCGGAAAGAGCGUUUCGCUGUUUCUGCUCGGAAAACUCAGUCGAACCUUAUCAUUUAGAGGAAGGAGAAGUCGUAACA
rnacentral:rRNA from 1 species